CCCCCAGGCCUUUUUAUUUAGUUUUAUUCUGAGACACUGUCCAGGCUGGCCUCAGACUUACAGCCUCCAAACAGCUGAGAUAACAGAUGCACAUCACCACCCUUCUUGAGAACCCCUCCUAAACCGAGCAUAGGAAACUGGAACUUCUUCUGAGACCUGUGUGACCACCAUUCCAAGAGAAAGCCCCCGUUUUCUUUGGAGGGGCCUGUAAGCCUGACUGACUGUUGUCAGCAUCUGCCUACAGAGGUUGUAGACCCUGCAGGCUGUGUUGAUUGUCCAGCUCCACCUUAUGACUCUCGCCAGGUUCUCUCUCCUUACCUGGGUUAACUCUGGAGUUCUGCUCUUCUCCAGGGUUCUGCUGGGAGAAGGUGUGGCCAUUUCCGGGGCAGAGGGCAUUCUCUGCAGGAGGGCCACAGGCUCACCUGUCACCAAGACUGGCGAGCGAGCCCGGUGAGUCACCCUGGCCUGGGUCAGGUUGGAGGAUCACCAGCUUCCGUUGCACGACUCAGAUGCCUAGGCUGUCCUACCCAUCUGUAGGUUUUCUCAGUCAUGCAUCGCAAAAGGGCAGGAAGGAAUCAAACGAAGCCCACCAGAAGGAAUGUGCCACGGUUAGGGCCAAAGACAGCCAGAGAGCCGGUGAGGCUGCGACAAGCUCCAGGUGCCCACAUGGAGGAAAGGGUCACUAGUCCUAAUACAAGACGCCAGGGGUAAGAGCUCAGUCUGCUUUUAGGGGGCUGCCCUGUCUGUGGAGAGUGGGAUCCACCAGUAACAGAGGUUGUGCUCAGAUACCUGAACCAGUCCGAUUUCUGCCCUGUUGAUGGAUCUGCGUCCAGGUGCGUGAUGUCAGUGCUCUAGGCCUGUCUCAGGUCUGUCCCGACUUCUACUUUUGCUGAGCAUCCUCCACCCACGCCUUGUUUUUUUGUUGGUGCUGGCUUUGAACCCAGGUACUUGCACUUACAUAGGCAAGCGCUCCGCCACUGUGCCACUCAACCCCGGCUCACUGAGCCUGACUGCAUCACUUCUGCAUACGCGUGGCCAAGAGCUUGGACCCUUUCUGAUGCUGGUUCACACAUGUGCAGCCUCUGCACAGCUUGCCCGGGCCCUUGCUGCUCACAUAGCACCAAGAUGGCUGCUCGAGUUCAGCACGCUUCUGGGCGUGGCCGUCGCCCACCACUCCGGAUGGAGUGAGCCUCCCUCCAACCACGGCAGCUUAAUCUUGUUUUUUCCCAGCAGGACCACGGCAGUGUUAGGCAGGAGGAGUGAGAAGGGAGACAGCUCCAGGCAGGAGCACUAUGGACUCCCACUGUCCCUACUGAAGUUCAAGAGUUUUUCAAACAUAAGCACAUCACUUUAUUUAUUAUUACUUUUUUACAGUACAGGGGAUUGAACUCAGUGAGUUGGCCUUUGCCUCAUUACCAGUAUUUACUGACACUGAACUUCAGUUAGUCUUUGAGGACUGACUGUCCUUGGUCACCUAGUGGCUGUAGGAGUUCAGCCUGCAUGGUGUGGCAUCUGAGACUCGACAGGAAUGUUUGUGGCAUUAUUAGACUAUUAUAUCUUGUAAUGCUGUACUUGCUCAAGGCUUCAGUGAGUUCAUUAUAAAAAUCAGAAAAAAUAUUAUGAUCACACUCAACAUAGUGAUAUUCUGCAUCUCAACCAUGUAGAAGAUCUUAAGUUUCCAGUUGUUUCACAAACAAGGAUAGACCGCCUGCUUACACGCACAGUUUCCACAGUUUUGCUUUCAUAUUUAUCGCUUAAUAACUUAGCCUUUUUACUUUCUUUCAUACACAGUUAAUUGAAAUACUAGUACCUACUUUCAGUGCCCUGCAGGUGAAUAUCCUUCCUUUGGACUACUGAGGUCUGGCCUAGUAUAAAAACAAUUCCUUUUGAGGAGAGACGGGGAAAAACAUUUUGGGUGAUAAAUGUAUUCUCAAUGCCAGAGGCCGUUAAGUGAACAACUAAUUUAUAGUUGUUAGGUUUUCUUGUAAAUAAGAAAAUAUUCUUUCUCCUUUGCUAUUUCAUAAAAUGAGUAUGGUUCCUAAAAUAUUAUAACCCUGCAUUGAAAAAUUAAUUUAAUGAAACUGGUACAUGAAUCACACAGCUUAAUAGUCUACCCCUGAGACCUGUUGGCUAACGCACACUGAGGUAAUUGUAGAGCCGAGAGAGUCGCGGACAGCGCCUCACCGAGAAAGGAGCUAACCACACUGAGAAGACAUCCAGGCAUGCGCACUCCCGACCGCUGCGGUGUGCAGUGUCAUGACAGAAAUCACGACAGUGACUCCUCGCAUCCUCAUUUUAGUGACUGCAAUUUUUUUCAAAUUGCGAAAGGAAGAUGUUUGUCUUUGACAAUUCACACUGCACCGAUACAGUAAAAAGUGAAAGUUCUUCCUCCCCCUCUCAACUUCUACAUUCCAGAGGUCUCAUUAACAAUUUGGUAUGUUCCUCCAGGCUUUAAAGAUAAGCGUAAGGUUUUGUUUUGUUUUACAAAAGCAGGACAGGCCUGGCGUGGUGGUGCACACCUGUAAUCCCAGCACUUG